rnacentral:rRNA from 1 species
AGACCGAUAGCGAACAAGUACCGUGAGGGAAAGAUGAAAAGCACUUUGGAGAGAGAGUUAAACAGUACGUGAAAUUGUUGAAAUGGAAACGCUUGAAGUCAGUCGCGUUCUCUGGGAUUCAGCCUUGCUUUUGCUUGGUGCAUUUCCUAGUCUACGGGCCAGCAUGAAUUUUGAUCAGUGGAAAAAGGCUUGGGGAAUGUGGCACCUUCGGGUGUGUUAUAGCCCCUUGUCACAUACAUUGGUUGGGAUUGAGGUCUUAGUGCACGCUUCGGUUGUGCUUUGAUGCUGGCGUAAUGGCUUUAAACGACCCGUCUUGAAACACGGACCAAG